UACGUAGGGGGCUAGCGUUGUCCGGAUUUAUUGGGCGUAAAGAGCGUGUAGGCGGCCAGGUAGGUCUGCUGUGAAAACUCGAGGCUCAACCUCGAGCUGUCGGCGGAAACCAUCUGGCUAGAGUCCGGAAGAGGAGAGUGGAAUUCCUGGCGUAGCGGUGAAAUGCGCAGAUAUCAGGAGGAACACCGAUGGCGAAGGCAGGUCUCUGGGCCACUACUGACGCUGAGAAGCGAAAGCGUGGGGAGCGAACAGG
rnacentral:rRNA from 1 species